UACGUAGGGGGCUAGCGUUGUCCGGAAUCAUUGGGCGUAAAGCGCGUGUAGGCGGUCCGGUAAGUCCGCUGUGAAAGUCGGGGGCUCAACCCUCGAAUGCCGGUGGAUACUGUCGGGCUAGAGUGCGGAAGAGGCGAGUGGAAUUCCUGGUGUAGCGGUGAAAUGCGCAGAUAUCAGGAGGAACACCUAUUGCGAAGGCAGCUCGCUGGGACGGUACUGACGCUGAGGCGCGAAAGCGUGGGGAGCAAACAGG
rnacentral:rRNA from 1 species